rnacentral:lncRNA from 1 species
CAAUGUCUUCAUUUAAAAACUUAGGUUUGGAUUGAGCAUCACAUCGAACACUGUUUUUGUUUGCCUCGACCCACUUAACAAUAUGGUGGUUCUUGUGACUCAAUAAAGUAGAAAAUAAAACUAUCAACACACGAAGUCUCCGCAUUUCAAUGUUUUCAAGUUAAGUCUUCGUAAGACACCAAGUAUUCAAUGUAUUUAGAUAUUUU